AUCGAACGCUGGCGGCAGGCCUAACACAUGCAAGUCGAGCGGAUGAAGGGAGCUUGCUCCUGGAUUCAGCGGCGGACGGGUGAGUAAUGCCUAGGAAUCUGCCUGGUAGUGGGGGAUAACGUCCGGAAACGGGCGCUAAUACCGCAUACGUCCUGAGGGAGAAAGUGGGGGAUCUUCGGACCUCACGCUAUCAGAUGAGCCUAGGUCGGAUUAGCUAGUUGGUGGGGUAAAGGCCUACCAAGGCGGCGAUCCGUAACUGGUCUGAGAGGAUGAUCAGUCACACUGGAACUGAGACACGGUCCAGACUCCUACGGGAGGCAGCAGUGGGGAAUAUUGGACAAUGGGCGAAAGCAUGAUCCAGCCAUGGCGCGUGUGUGAAGAAGGUCUUCGGAUUGUAAAGCACUUUAAGUUGGGAGGAAGGGCAGUAAGUUAAUACCUUGCUGUUUUGACGUUACCAACAGAAUAAGCACCGGCUAACUUCGUG
rnacentral:rRNA from 1 species